CAGCCCAAACUGUAUAAGGGGUUUAUCUAGCUCUGUAAAGCCAAAGCAGGAGAUAUAAAGACACACACAGAGCCACAGAGAGUAUUUUACCGGCGUGUUUGAACGUUUCCAAAUCUCAGAAUAAAAUGUCUUCACCUGCUCAGGUGUGUGUGGCUGCUUCAGUGUGGCAGGCCUUCCUGCGUGUGUGCGCUCUUCACAGUUUGGACGCGGUGUGUCUUCAGUGGACGCUUCAACUGCUCCCACAUCCAGGUUCCUGUGCAUGCAGUGCCACUCAUGAGGACGAAGACUUACCAGUUUAAAUACUAAACUUCUCUUUUAUGAAAACAAUCUGUGUGUGUGUGUGUGUAGUCAAAAGUUUGGAUUGAUAUGACUGGAUAAGUGUGUGGCUUUAUGCCACACUGUAGCACUGCCUCCAAGAUACCUGUUGGUUUGGGGUCAAAACAGGCCAGAGGACUUUAUGAGCCAACCCUUGUAUCUUUAUAUGCAAUCUUUUGUUAUCUAAAAAGUCCAUAAAGUAUUUGGAGGCGAGACAUUUAAAGCCUAUCAAUGCAACUUAGGACUGUGUUGCACGAGGAGCUUUAACAAGACUAGCAGGGCUUUUUGAUGCGCUCAGUUUAAAUCCUUAAUGUGUCCGCAAACAAAAUGAGAAUUCACUCUUUAAAUAUUUCAGUCCAGGUCAGCUUUGAAAUGAACUUAAAUUAUGAGUCUAGUAUUUUAAAAUUAUUAUUGGUUGAUCAUUGGUACCUGAAACCUUCCUUACAGAUCGUUUUUUGGGGUUUUUUCUUUUUUUUUUUUUACAGUAGAUAGCACCAGUUCACAACAACAGUUAUCUCCAGAAGCUUUACAUUGUAAGGACGCUGAAAUAUUAGAGGUAGAUUCCAAUGACUGAAACAACCCCGAUGUGUAAGCACUUGGCAGCUGUGGGAAGGAAGAGCUGCUGUUUAACAGGAAGAGACCACAACAGGUUCCAGGCCAAUUGGGGGGCAGUAGGGAAGGAAGACAGAACAGAGCAGCAAAGAGAGCCCAUAAACAACAAACUGGAUAAAACGCAAACUAUGGGAGACUAGUGCAGAAUAACAAAACAGAUAUAAUGUGUAUAAUCACAUGGCUACCACAGAGCUACUACAAUGGUAAAAUAUUUGUUUAAGUUGGUUUCAAGUCAGUGAGUGCUGUGAAACUGCUUUGCAGGUAAGUAAAAGACAUUUUUGAAUGUAUGAUGUGGGAUCAUGUUUUAACUUCUGCUUCUGCAAACUAACAGUAUAUUAAUGUAAUCUGUUUUCCCUCUGCUUUUAAUAAAGUCAUAAAUGCGCUACUCUUCUCUGUCACAGUAAGUGUCCAUGUUCAGAGUGAAUAUGUGCGUGCAUGGCUGAGCACGGAAACACUUAACCUUUCAGACUGACAGGUGACAUCUUGUAAUUGGUGGGUCACCGUGGGUGGUUCUGGUAGAGUGACAGACACACAAAGAGGUGCACAUAACAAGGUGGAAAUGCACAAUUGGCUGUGUGACAAACAUGCAAUCGCCAAAGAUUUGGAAGUGUAAUCGUUUACAAGAGUGAAAAUAGAUUUCUGUAAAUAGAAAAGUACAAAGAGAAACAUCGAAUUCUGUUAUGAAAUCCUGAGGCCGGAAGCAAGCACAGCACUGCCAUCUAGUGGUCACACGAAGUAGUAGUAGUAGUAAAUAACAGGCAGAAAAGCCACAUACGUUUCAGCACAACAGCACGAUGACCUGUGAUUACUUUUUAAGAUUAAAUCUGCUAUUGUUGCAGCUAACAUAACUGAACACAUGUCCAGUUGGGAUGCCCUCAUUACUCUGCUUACUGGCAUUGGUCUAAAUCCUGGAGUUAGUUCAUGCUUACAGACAGGUCCAAAUCCACAAUGACAUGAUGGGUGCAAUAAGGUGUGGAUCUUUGAUCUACAAGUAUCUACCUAUUUUAGAGAUAGUCUCUUUAAUCCAUUCAAUUUAAAUCAACACACGACAUUGCUCAGUCCUCUUUGCAUUCAGUUUUAUUUAUGAGAGUUGCUUUAAAAGCAUUAAGUAUGACUCCUGGGGACAGUUUUAUAAUGAUCUUUGAUGGGUGGUGUUAUAAACAUACAGUCUUAAAAAAAAAAAAAAGCUGUAUGAUAAAUAUUAUGCACACAUUCAAACCAGCAUCCAACAGGUUUAGCUAGUCACUUCAAGGUGCAAGAUCAGAAUUUAAAAAUUGCAUUACUACCCUACACAGAAUUGUUUAGAAAAGCCCACUGGAGAUGUGUGUUCAAUAACUAUAAAUCAAACCUAUAUCGAUCCUUUAUAACACAGUUUCUUCAUCAGGUGCGCAUGAUUUAUCUGCCUGGACAUGCAGGUGACAGACUGUGUACUUCCUGUCUUCAGACUGUUUGGAACAGUGUUGGUAAAUUGGACUAAAUCAAGCACACCGACUAUAACAUACUGUGAUAAAUCACAGACCGACGUUUGUGACGGUGUCUCUACUCCCGCUCUGCUAUGGCAACCAGGCUAAAAAUCCAAAGCAGAACCUCGGUCACGACCCAUGUAGGAAAUCUCUGUUUGAAUGACCAACUGUGUGAAUAAAGUUACCUGAACUUAGGCUUGUCUUUGGUAACUACGCCGAUCUCCAGCUCACUAGCCUUGAAGUCCACUGACAGGACAGAGGACAGACAGGAAAUGGCCAACUGUAAAGACGGAAGGGAAAUACAAAGAAAAUGCUCCCGUCAGAACAUUAAAGGCAGACUGCGUGGCUAGGCGCUUGAUUUUAUAAACCUGUGGCAAUGAGACUGAAAACAUCUGAAUUCAGAGAUUAAGAGGUGUGGCUCAAUGCUUUUGUCCAUAUCAU